rnacentral:rRNA from 1 species
GGAUGACACUUUUCGGAGCGUAAACUCCUUUUCUUAGGGAAGAAUUCUGACGGUACCUAAGGAAUAAGCACCGGCUAACUCCGUGCCAGCAGCCGCGGUAAUACGGAGGGUGCAAACGUUACUCGGAAUCACUGGGCGUAAAGGGCGCGUAGGCGGAUUAUCAAGUCUCUUGUGAAAUCUAAUGGCUUAACCAUUAAACUGCUUGGGAAACUGAUAAUCUAGAGUGGGGGAGAGGCAGAUGGAAUUGGUGGUGUAGGGGUAAAAUCCGUAGAUAUCACCAAGAAUACCCAUUGCGAAGGCGAUCUGCUGGAACUUAACUGACGCUAAGGCGCGAAAGCGUGGGGAGCAAACAGGAUUAGAUACCCUGGUAGUCCACGCCCUAAACGAUGUACACUAGUUGUUGGGGUGCUAGUCAUCUCAGUAAUGCAGCUAACGCAUUAAGUGUACCGCCUGGGGAGUACGGUCGCAAGAUUAAAACUCAAAGGAAUAGACGGGGACCCGCACAGGCGGUGGAGCAUGUGGUUUAAUUCGAAGAUACGCGAAGAACCUUACCUAGGCUUGAUAUCCAACAAAUUCUGUAGAGAUACGGAAGUGCUAGCUUGCUAGAAUGUUGAGACAGGUGCUGCACGGCUGUCGUCAGCUCGUGUCGUGAGAUGUUGGGUUAAGUCCCGCAACGAGCGCAACCCACGUAUUUAGUUGCUAACAGUUAGGCUGAGCACUCUAAAUAGACUGCCUUCGUAAGGAGGAGGAAGGUGUGGACGACGUCAAGUCAUCAUGGCCCUUAUGCCUAGGGCGACACACGUGCUACAAUG